UACGGAGGGUGCAAGCGUUGUCCGGAUUCACUGGGUUUAAAGGGCGCGUAGGCGGCCAGCGCAAGUCAGUUGUGAAAUCUCCGAGCUUAACUCGGAAAGGUCAACUGAUACUGCGCGGCUAGAGUGCAGAAGGGGCAACUGGAAUUCUCGGUGUAGCGGUGAAAUGCGUAGAUAUCGAGAGGAACACCUGCGGCGAAGGCGGGUUGCUGGGCUGACACUGACGCUGAGGCGCGAAAGCUAGGGGAGCGAACGGG
rnacentral:rRNA from 1 species